UCUAGAGGAGAUCGUUGCACUGAAUCGUUUAUCUUAUAGAGCUUGAGCCAUGUGCCAGAAUCAUCACCAAAGUGUUCUUGGUAGUCUGUCAUCCUAAUGGCUCCGUCUCUGGAAGCUGAAACCAGAAGCCUCAGUCAUCAAGGAUGCCAUCAUCAGAUACAAAACUAA